rnacentral:misc_RNA from 1 species
GAUGAAGAACGUAGCGAAAUGCGAUAAGUAGUGUGAAUUGCAGAAUUCAGUGAAUCAUCGAAUCUUUGAACGCACAUUGCGCCUCCUGGGAUUCCGGGAGGCAUGCCUGUUCGAGCGUCAUCAAAAACCUCAACCCAUGAUUUAUUGUGAGUUGGUUCUGCAUUGGACUCCUUGUGGGUCCUUUGCGAAAUCCAAUGGCGAAGAGCCACGCAACCAAAGCGUAGUAUAACUAUUUCGUUAUGGAAGCGUGGGUGCCUCUGCCGUAACCCCCAAUUUCUUAGUUUUUGACCUCGGAUCAGGUAGGGAUACCCGCUGAACUUAAGCAUAUCAAUAAGCGGAGGA